UAAAGCUAGCCCAAACAAUACCUAAUUCAAUUACCCUUAGUCACUUAACUAAAACAUUCACCAAACCAUUAAAGUAUAGGAGAUAGAAAUUUUAACUUGGCGCUAUAGAGAAAGUACCGUAAGGGAACGAUGAAAGAUGCAUUAAAAGUACUAAACAGCAAAGCUUACCCCUUUUACCUUUUGCAUAAUGAUUUAACUAGAAUAAACUUAGCAAAGAGAACUUAAGCUAAGCACCCCGAAACCAGACGAGCUACCUAUGNACAGUUACAAAGAACCAACUCAUCUAUGUCGCAAAAUAGUGAGAAGAUUCGUAGGUAGAGGUGAAAAGCCCAACGAGCCUGGUGAUAGCUGGUUGUCCAGAAACAGAAUUUCAGUUCAAAUUUAAAUUUACCUAAAAACUACUCAAUUCUAAUGUAAAUUUAAAUUAUAGUCUAAAAAGGUACAGCUUUUUAGAUACAGGUUACAACCUUUAUUAGAGAGUAAGAACAAGAUAAACCCAUAGUUGGCUUAAAAGCAGCCAUCAAUUAAGAAAGCGUUCAAGCUCAACGACACAUCUAUCUUAAUCCCAACAAUCAACCCAAACUAACUCCUAAUCUCAUACUGGACUAUUCUAUCAACACAUAGAANGAAUAAUGUUAAUAUGAGUAACAAGAAUUAUUUCUCCUUGCAUAAGCCUAUAUCAGAACGAAUACUCACUGAUAGUUAACAACAAGAUAGGGAUAAUCCAAAAACUAAUCAUCUAUUUAAACCAUUGUUAACCCAACACAGGCAUGCAUCUAUAAGGAAAGAUUAAAAGAAGUAAAAGGAACUCGGCAAA
rnacentral:rRNA from 1 species